rnacentral:rRNA from 1 species
GACGAACGCUGGCGGCGUGCUUAACACAUGCAAGUCGUACGGUAAGGCCCUUUCGGGGGUACACGAGUGGCGAACGGGUGAGUAACACGUGAGUAACCUGCCCACAACUUUGGGAUAACGCUAGGAAACUGGUGCUAAUACUGGAUAUGUGCUCCUGCUGCAUGGUGGGGGUUGGAAAGCUCCGGCGGUUGUGGAUGGACUCGCGGCCUAUCAGCUUGUUGGUGGGGUAGUGGCCUACCAAGGCGGCGACGGGUAGCCGGCCUGAGAGGGUGACCGGCCACAUUGGGACGGAGAUACGGCCCAGACUCCUACGGGAGGCAGCAGUGGGGAAUAUUGCACAAUGGGCGCAAGCCUGAUGCAGCAACGCCGCGUGCGGGAUGACGGCCUUCGGGUUGUAAACCGCUUUCAGCAGGGACGAAGCUUUUUGUGACGGUACCUGCAGAAAAAGCACCGGCUAACUACGUG